GUCCCCAUCGUCUAGGGGUUAGGACACCACCCUUUCACGGUGGGAACGGGGGUUCGAAUCCCCCUGGGGAUGCCA
rnacentral:tRNA from 1 species